rnacentral:lncRNA from 1 species
AGUCCAAAGGACAUUUUUUUUUUUCAAUUCACUCCUCCUUGUGAAAAUAAGAAUACAAAUGAAACCAUAGGUGUAUCAUAAUGGGAAGCUCUGCUUAUGAGAUGUAUGUCACCUCUUAAAUCUCUCUGAUAAAGAAUAUCACAACCACAGAAUGACUGAGUUGGAAGGAACCUUUUGGAGGUCAAACCCCCUGCUCAAAGCAGGGUCACUGAGAGCAGGAUGCCCAGGACUGUGUCCAAACAGCUCUUGAAUAUUUCCAAGAAUGGAAACUCCACAGUCUCUCUGGACGACCUGUUCCAGUGCUGUCACUCAUGGUAUUGCUCAUGAUUCAUUCACACAGGAAUGAAGACCCCACCAUCUGUGGUGCUGAAGAAGUGUUUAAAGUCCCAGGCUCUGGAGACACACCAUGGCAUACUGUAAACAGAGCAGGGACCAGAUCAGGACCAGAGGCAACGCAGCUAUAGAGAAGCCGCCGCUUGAGAAGAGGGAAUAUAGAAAGGAUCGUUUUCAGAGGUAAACAACAUAAUGAGCUCCAAUUCUGCAAGUAAUACAGAGAAUACUCCCAUGAACUUAGAACCACUGGUGUUUGCUUUUCUGUAAGCAUCAUUUCAGUUUAUAUAACUGCUAAAUUUGUUAAUUAAAAUCAGCACUCAACAAACCUAAGGAAGUAAAAGGAUUGUAGCCUGUAGCAUUUCAUGAACCAAACAGAACAUCACACUAAUCAGCUGAUCCAGGUUUUUAAUUCCAAUUUCCUCAGUCUCAUUCUGUUAGACCAAUUCUGAUAUCACUGUCAUCCUGCUGGUAUCUACUGACACAUUCAAGAUUCAUACCAACGUGCAAAUAAAGCAUCCCAAUGGAAUUUCCUUCA